GACGAACGCUGGCGGCGUGCUUAACACAUGCAAGUCGAACGGAAAGGCCCUGCUUUUGUGGGGUGCUCGUGUGGCGAACGGGUGAGUAACACGUGAGUAACCCGCCCUUGACUUUGGGGUAACUUCAGGAAACUGGGGCUAAUACCGCGUAGGAGCUCCUGAUGCAUGGUGGGGGUUGGUAAGAUUCGGCGGUUGGGGAUGGAUUCGCGGCUUAUCGGCUUGUUGGUGGGGUAGUGGCUUACAAGGGCUUUGAGGGGUAGCCGGCCUGAGAGGUGGACCGGCGACAAGGCGACUGAGAGACGGAGCAGACUCCAACGGGAGGCAGCAGGGGGGAAUAUUGCAGAGUGGGGGGGAGCCAGAUGCGGCAACGCCGCGUGCGGGAUGACGGGCUUCGGGUGGUGAACCGAUGUGGCCUGUGACGAGGCGUUAGUGACGGUAAUGGGUAAAGAAGCCCCGGCUAACUACGUG
rnacentral:rRNA from 1 species